rnacentral:rRNA from 1 species
UACAGAGGUCCCAAGCGUUGUUCGGAUUCACUGGGCGUAAAGGGUGCGUAGGCGGGUCUUUAAGUCAGGGGUGAAAUCCUGGAGCUCAACUCCAGAACUGCCUUUGAUACUGAAGAUCUUGAGUCCGGAAGAGGAGAACGGAAUUCCCAGUGUAGCGGUGAAAUGCGCAGAUAUUGGGAAGAACACCAGUGGCGAAGGCGGUUCUCUGGGACGGUACUGACGCUGAGACGCGAAAGCGUGGGGAGCGAACAGG